AUUGAACGCUGGCGGCAGGCUUAACACAUGCAAGUCGAGCGGGGGAAGGUAGCUUGCUACCGGACCUAGCGGCGGACGGGUGAGUAAUGCUUAGGAAUCUGCCUAUUAGUGGGGGACAACAUCUCGAAAGGGAUGCUAAUACCGCAUACGUCCUACGGGAGAAAGCAGGGGAUCUUCGGACCUUGCGCUAAUAGAUGAGCCUAAGUCGGAUGAGCUAGUUGGUGGGGUAAAGGCCUACCAAGGCGACGAUCUGUAGCGGGUCUGAGAGGAUGAUCCGCCACACGGGGACUGAGACACGGCCCAGACUCCUACGGGAGGCAGCAGUGGGGAAUAUUGGACAAUGGGGGGAACCCUGAUCCAGCCAUGCCGCGUGUGUGAAGAAGGCCUUAUGGUUGUAAAGCACUUUAAGCGAGGAGGAGGCUACUCUAGUUAAUACCUAGAGAUAGUGGACGUUACUCGCAGAAUAAGCACCGGCUAACUCUGUGCCAGCCGCCGCGGUAA
rnacentral:rRNA from 1 species